rnacentral:rRNA from 1 species
UUUUAUGGAGAGUUUGAUCCUGGCUCAGGAUGAACGCUGGCGGCGUGCCUAAUACAUGCAAGUCGAGCGAACGGACGAGAAGCUUGCUUCUCUGAUGUUAGCGGCGGACGGGUGAGUAACACGUGGAUAACCUACCUAUAAGACUGGGAUAACUUCGGGAAACCGGAGCUAAUACCGGAUAAUAUUUUGAACCGCAUGGUUCAAAAGUGAAAGACGGUCUUGCUGUCACUUAUAGAUGGAUCCGCGCUGCAUUAGCUAGUUGGUAAGGUAACGGCUUACCAAGGCAACGAUGCAUAGCCGACCUGAGAGGGUGAUCGGCCACACUGGAACUGAGACACGGUCCAGACUCCUACGGGAGGCAGCAGUAGGGAAUCUUCCGCAAUGG